rnacentral:rRNA from 1 species
CCUACGGGGGGCAGCAGUGGGGAAUAUUGCACAAUGGGGGAAACCCUGAUGCAGCGACGCCGCGUGAGUGAAGAAGUAAUUCGUUAUGUAAAGCUCUAUCAGCAGGGAAGAAAAUGACGGUACUUGAGUAAGAAGCCCCGGCUAACUACGUGCCAGAAGCCGCGGUCAUACGUAGGGGGCAAGCGUUAUCCGGAUUUACUGGGUUUAAGGGUUGCGUAGGCGGUCAGGUAAGUUAGAGGUGAACGCUCGAUGCUCAACAUCGAAACUGCCUCUGAUACUGUCUGACUAGAGUGUAGUUGCGGAAGGCGGAAUGUGUGGUGUAGCGGUGAAAUGCUUAGAUAUCACACAGAACACCGAUUGCGAAGGCAGCUUUCCAAGCUAUUACUGACGCUGAGGCACGAAAGCGUGGGGAGCGAACAGGAUUAGAUACCCCGGUAGUC